GUCCAGAACCAUAUACGGCCAAGUAGGGUGGAUGUGCCCAUUCCAGUCUGGGUCCAGCUGUCUUGUGGUUGACGGUAUCUUCCAAAGGCAGCCACAUCCCAUGACAAUGACACUCCUCUCAGAAGAUGGGGUCUUCUUCCCUCUUUUUGCAUCUGGGUGAACUGGGGUGACCACGGCGGAAGCGAAGUGACAUCUGAUGCUGGGCUUAGAAAAGGCCUCUUUCUUCCGGCUCUUCCUCUCUUGAGACGCUUGCCCUUGGACCCAGCCACCAUGCGGUGAGGAAGCCCAUGCUGGCCCACGUGGAGAGUCCACAUGGAGAGGCUCAUGUGGGGGAGGAAGUGAGGCCCCCAGCUGACAUCAGCGUCAACUGCCAGACACUACAAGAGGCAGCAUAAAGCAGCCAGAAAGCCAUGGAUCCCGGAGCCAGACUGCCUGGGUGUGAAUCAUGGUUCCACCACUUAGGAGCUGUGUGAGCUCAGGCAAGAACCGAGGCCCACCCACAACAACCACCAAAGGGCUUGACACUUCCAUACUCAAUCAACACGGAAGGAACAAACGAAACGAAUGGAUGGACACAGGCCACAGCUCCAGGGAGCUCCUAGACGUGCGCGAACUAAGAAGAGAGCAGAUGUCAAAAGUGGAAAAGAUGGCAUCCAAGGAGCAGGUGAUUCAGGACAGGAGAGGCGACAGGAUUCCCGGGAUGACGGUGAAGGAAAGACCCAGGACAACAGCUGAGCAGAAGGAGGCCUCAAGGGCAAGCAGUGCAGACGGGAGCAAGAAGGGCAGGGCUCCAGGAGCACCACCACCCGGAAACCCUAGAGCUAGGAGGCGAGCUGAUGUGUCUGGCGUCACUGACAGGAGGGCUUCUUUUUUCACUUGCCUGAAGCAUUUGCGGAAUAAAGUAAUGAUAGAGACACAGAAAACAGAGCAAAUCAAAAAGCAAGACAAGUAGUAACCAGAGGAAAAAUGAAGUCAAACGAGGAAACGUCGUCUUGGGACACUGUAAGGCUCAGCUUUGAACAACAUUUACAGACGUGUAAUGAUGUAUACGCUGAACACAGACUAAGAAAAAUCACGAUAGGGUCACAUUAAAAAGAUGAAGGAAAGAAAACGUGUGCGUGUGCGUGUGCGUGUGCGUGUGCGCGUGUGCGUGUGCGU